rnacentral:rRNA from 1 species
GACGAACGCUGGCGGCGUGCUUAACACAUGCAAGUCGAACGGAAAGGCCUGCUUUCCCUUGUGGUUUGCGUGUCCUCGAGUGGCGAACGGGUGAGUAACACGUGAGUGAUCUGCCCCCAACUUGGUUAUAAGCCUGGGAAACUGUGUCUAAUUCCCGAUAGGACUGCAGGGUGCUGCCUGUGGUGGAAGUCGUUUUUCUAGUGGUUGGGGAUGAGCCCGCGGCCUAUCUGCUUGUUGGUGGGGUAAAUGCCUACCACGACGGCGACCGGUAGCCGGACUGGGAGGGGGGACGGGGGAAUUGGGACUGGGACAAGGCUCAGACGCCUACGGGAGGUAGGGAUGGGGCAGAUAGGAGAGUGAGCGGAAGGCAGAUGCAGCGCCGGAGCGUGGAGGAUGACGGCAUUGGGGAUGUAAACUCCUUUGGAACGAGAGGAAGCUAACUGGUUAGGAGGGUGGUGACGGUAGUUGUAGAAGAAGCACCGGCUAACUACGUG